rnacentral:rRNA from 1 species
AUAAGCGGAGGAAAAGAAACUAACAAGGAUUCCCCUAGUAACGGCGAGUGAACCGGGAAGAGCUCAAAUUUGAAAUCUGGCGUGCUCAGUGCGUCCGAGUUGUAAUCUAUAGAGGCGUUUUCCGUGCCGGACUGUGUCUAAGUCCCUUGGAACAGGGUAUCAAAGAGGGUGAUAAUCCCGUACUUGACACAAUGACCGGUGCUCUGUGAUACGUCUUCUACGAGUCGAGUUGUUUGGGAAUGCAGCUCAAAAUGGGUGGUGAGUUCCAUCUAAAGCUAAAUAUUGGCGAGAGACCGAUAGCGAACAAGUACCGUGAGGGAAAGAUGAAAAGCACUUUGGAAAGAGAGUUAAACAGUACGUGAAAUUGUUGAAAGGGAAACGAUUGAAGUCAGUCGUGACUGAGAGGCUCAGCCGGUUCUGCCGGUGUAUUCCCCUCAGUCGGGUCAACAUCAGUUUUGUUCGGUGGAUAAGGGCAGCUGGAAGGUGGCACCUCCGGGUGUGUUAUAGCCAGCUGUCGCAUACAUCGAAUGAGACUGAGGAAUGCAGCUCGCCUUUAUGGCCGGGGUUCGCCCACGUCCGAGCUUAGGAUGUGACAUA